CAUAUGCAGUGGAACCAAUGACAGUGGGCUCCAAAUCAGACCCACCACUGGCCAAGGCCAAGCCCACCAGCAACAGAGGCAGGACCUCUGGUAUUAAAGAAGGGGAGAAAAAGUUAUAGCAGAAACAACUGCAUCUGGAGAAGAGAGGGGUGAGAAAGAAUGUGAGAGGAAGAGCUCUUCAGACAUCAAGCCCAUGGAGGUCCACGGGGGAGCACAGAGACAUCUGCAGCCCAUGGAAGACCCCAUGCUGGACCAGGCUCCUGGCAGGACCCAUGGCCCUGUGGACAGAGGAGCCCACAUUGGAGCAGAAGGGACCCACUCUGGAGCAGUUUAUGGAGAACUGGAGUCCAGGAGAGUGUGGCACACUGGAAAAGCUUGUGGAGGAUUGUCUUCCAUGGGAGAAACUCCACUCUGCGAGAGGGGAACUGUGUGAGAAGACAUCUCUCUGAGGAGCAAGGAGCAGCAGAAAUAACAUGUGAUGAACUAACUGCAGCCCCCAUCCCCCAUAUCCCUGUGCUGCUGGGAUACAGCUAGAGAAGACAAGGAGUGAAGUUAAGCCUAAAAGGAGAGAAGCUGCAGGGAAGGUUUUAAGGUUAAUAAGGGGGAGAUACAGAGUAGAAUUGGUGGGCACCUGGCAUUUAUCCACGUCAGCCCAUUACACACAUCUGAAGAUGCAGACUGCGAUUCGAGCAUCAGACCUUCAAAAUCCGUAAAGACUAAUCUUUACAAUUGGAAAUUCUGGUAGCUCGAAUGGGACAAGACAUGACUUCACUGCUUGGUAAGACCACUGAUUUUUUAAUAAAGAG